AGAGCGAACGCUGGCGGCAGGCCUAACACAUGCAAGUCGAGCGCCCCGCAAGGGGAGCGGCAGACGGGAGAGUAACACGUGGGAACGUACCCUUCAGUUCGGAACAACCCAGGGAAACUUGGGCUAAUACCGAAUACGUCCGUAAGGAGAAAGAUUUAUCGCUGAAGGAUCGGCCCGCGUCUGAUUAGCUAGUUGGUGGGGUAAUGGCCCACCAAGGCGACGAUCAGUAGCUGGUCUGAGAGGAUGGCCAGCCACAUUGGGACUGAGAGACGGCCCAGACUCCUACGGGAGGCAGCAGUGGGGAAUCUUGCGCAAUGGCCGCAAGGCUGACGCAGCGACGCCGCGUGGGGGAGGAAGGGCUUCGGGCUCGUAAACCCCUGUUGCCCGGGGCGAACAUCCCUUUUCGAGGGGACUGACGGUACCGGGUGAGGAAGCACCGGCUAACUCCGUGCCAGCAGCCGC
rnacentral:rRNA from 1 species